rnacentral:lncRNA from 1 species
UGAACUGCUGCUGGUUGAUGACAAUAUACUUAUAACUUAACAACCUGUAACUCUACUGUCAUAAAUAGGUGUCCCCAUCUCCUCCCAUACCUUGGGCCAGAGGAGCAUGACAACCUGGGUGAGGAGUUUCUGAAUUAUCAGACCAUGCCAACAACCUACCUUCAGGACGAAACUGAGGUGGAAAGCUUCUGGGCUGGAAUGGAAACAUAAGGUGACAGGAGCCAAAGAAUUUGAGUGGCUUGUUGCCUUCGCCAAGCUGGUCCUGGUGUUGCCCCAUUCGAAUGCAGAUGCUGAGAGGGUGUUUUCAGUUGUGGGACUGAACAAAACUAAGACCAGAAAUAGCCUGGCAUUGGAUGGCACCCUGUCUUCAAUAAUGGCCAUAAAGAUGGCCGACCUGGAGCCCUGUUUCAGAUGGGAGCCCCCCUCAGAGGUCAUCAAGGCCUCCAAGAAGGCCACAGGCCAGUACAACCUUGCCCACGGAUCUUAGAAAAUGACUAACCAACUUCUGAUCUGCAUCUGAUACCUCAUUUUUAGUUAUUUUUGUCAUGUGUUGAUCCAUUGUAUUGCUUAAAAGGCUACUGUUUAAGCACUUUAUUUGUUGCACUUUUUUGUUUGAUGGAAUGUGUGGUGGGAGGCUUUGAAUAAUGAAAAAUAUUUCUCCCUAACUAAUCUUUUGUCAUUUUUUGCUGAACAUAAAUCAUUAAGUGCUCUUAAGAAUACAAUUAUUAACAAUAUAGGUUAGGUUUCAGUUAAGAAUUAGUUGAAUACCAUUGUAAUCAAAAUGUCAAUCAACCCUACCAUGGUCAAAUCUUAAACACAGGUUUAUUAAUUAGGCUAUAUUGUGGUACAUUGAGUCAUUGAGGCACAACAAUAGUUUUCUGGUUAAAUGUUCAGCUCAAGUCUAGAAGGCCCUACAAGUCAUGAUCAGAUGAAAAUGAAUCAGAAUAAGUUCAGGUAUUGCACAUCUUUAGCAUACCACCCAAAAAUCCACUAGAAUGCAGGAAAUAACAUCUACUUAAACCAACAUUUCCUGGGGGUGAACCUUCAGCUAUGUCUUUGCUUCACAGAAUGUAACCAAUGUUGUCCAUCUCCAGUAGGCCGCCGCUAUCAACGACUUU